rnacentral:lncRNA from 1 species
GAGUAUAUUUAGUUUCCUCCGCUAUUAAUAGGGUUCACGGCGUGUGAACCUAUACUUUGGUUAAUUCAUCGAUACUGCAUUCUGAUCAAAUGUGGUACUGUGAUGAUAAUCUUUAUGGGAGGAAGGAGACGUCCUUCCGUUAUGACCAUAUUGUCAUCAUGGAACUUUCGUUCUGAUGGAUUUUCUCUGUAUGGGUGAGCCUUUCUAAGUUUUAUCUUUUAAACGGCAUUGCCUUGUCUCCUAAGAUGGAUAAGUCCUUCUUGUGAUGCACCGUUAGCUUGUGAUGCACCGUUAGGGUGCACACUCAUGUGAAGGGUUUGGAACACCUCAAACCUGGAUGGAUGCAAGCAUCACCCUUUGGUAAGGUGGUGUUUUCAUUUGUGCGUUACUUGAAGGUCUGUCGGAAAUUCUCAUGCUCUAGCACUUUGUUUGCGUUAAAAGGGGUGAGUUUUAUUUGAAGUUAAGAAAGAAAAGGAAUAAACAAUUCUGGUCACAAUACUAUUACCGUGACACCUUCUUUUCUUCUUUUAGAAUUCACCUCCUUUUAGUGCAAUCCUAGUGUUCGGGGUGAGGGUUAAAGACUAGAUCCACGGAGCACUGUGCUCCUAGGGAAUUCUAGAAAUUAACUACUUCUAGAACGGAACACAUAAGACUAUGUAUACAAUACAAGGAAAGGAAAAAGGUCUCUUAGGGGUACCACAAAGAAAAGAAUCAAAAUAGCUAAAAAGAGUCUGCUUCCUUUAUCAUAUAUAUGAGAUAGUAGAUCACCUUUUUUUUUUGAAGCAAAAAAAAAGGUGAUCUACUGUUGUAGUCUUCUUGACAUAUCAAGUCAAGAGGGCGAGGCUCCUAGCAAUGGGGGGAAAGGGGAGUGGGUAAGCGGGCUCCUUUCACUUGACUGGUUAGUUAGGAGUGAUCUUUUUUCUACGAUGUUCGAGAUCUUUGUCUCGCAGAGGGUGAAAUGAGAUCUUCUUGGAACAAGGUCAGAGGCGUUGGACGGACCAGUUUCUUCUGAUUCCAAUGAUAGAUGGAUGGUCAGGUCGGUAACAUAUGGAUGGAGGACUUCUACAGGGUCUUCUCGUGCGCUCGACUAGCAAGGUGGUUUUGUAGGCGAACGAAAUAAGUUUUUGGAGGCGAGCGGAGUGAGGCAAUGAAAUUGUUUAGGCGAAAGAAAGGAGAGAACGAGUGGAGUUUCGAGAAUGAGAAUCAUAUAUUUUCUCAUUUCUUUUUCGUAGUAAGAAGACACUAAGACGCACCCACUACACACCACACACUCAGACGACUAGCGUGGUCCUUCCCCCAUCGAAGAGCCACGUAUCCAGGGUUGACCACAUCAUCACUGUUUUAUCAAGGUGUGGCCACGGUCUCAAUUGGGUCAUUGUUUAGUAUGCCCAAGCUUGACAAUAGCUGUGGAUAUUUUGAGUCCCUCAGAACGCAACUCCCUUAUGAGUUGGAAGCCAAGACAAAUGGAUUCCACUUCAUAGGUACCGUUCACCUCACGUGAAGGCUCGCUCAGAACACGUACCAAGCUUUUAUUAGAAAGGAACAGAACAAAGAGGAGUGCUCCACUCCGAAAGAGAAGGAACGGAAAGAGCAGGCGGCAGAGAAAGAGACAAGGAGGAAGAAGGGGGCACUACGGGAAGAGCAUCCAAGACGCGCUAAGGCAAAGGCAUAGAGCUCAAACACAGGCUUAGUAAGCACAGAUUCCCUAGAAAGAAAGAUAAUUCUAGAAAUUAACUACUUCUAGAACGGAACACAUAAGACUAUGUAUACAAUACAAGGAAAGGAAAAAGGUCUCUUAGGGGUACCACAAAGAAAAGAAUCAAAAUAGCUAAAAAGAGUCUGCUUCCUUUAUCAUAUAUAUGAGAUAGUAGAUCACCUUUUUUUUUUGAAGCAAAAAAAAAGGUGAUCUACUGUUGUAGUCUUCUUGACAUAUCAAGUCAAGAGGGCGAGGCUCCUAGCAAUGGGGGGAAAGGGGAGUGGGUAAGCGGGCUCCUUUCACUUGACUGGUUAGUUAGGAGUGAUCUUUUUUCUACGAUGUUCGAGAUCUUUGUCUCGCAGAGGGUGAAAUGAGAUCUUCUUGGAACAAGGUCAGAGGCGUUGGACGGACCAGUUUCUUCUGAUUCCAAUGAUAGAUGGAUGGUCAGGUCGGUAACAUAUGGAUGGAGGACUUCUACAGGGUCUUCUCGUGCGCUCGACUAGCAAGGUGGUUUUGUAGGCGAACGAAAUAAGUUUUUGGAGGCGAGCGGAGUGAGGCAAUGAAAUUGUUUAGGCGAAAGAAAGGAGAGAACGAGUGGAGUUUCGAGAAUGAGAAUCAUAUAUUUUCUCAUUUCUUUUUCGUAGUAAGAAGACACUAAGACGCACCCACUACACACCACACACUAAGACGACUAGCGUGGUCCUUCCCCCAUCGAAG